rnacentral:rRNA from 1 species
GAUGAACGCUGGCGGCGUGCCUAAUACAUGCAAGUCGAGCGAACAGAUAAGGAGCUUGCUCCUUUGACGUUAGCGGCGGACGGGUGAGUAACACGUGGGUAACCUACCUAUAAGACUGGAAUAACUCCGGGAAACCGGGGCUAAUGCCGGAUAACAUUUAGAACCGCAUGGUUCUAAAGUGAAAGAUGGUUUUGCUAUCACUUAUAGAUGGACCCGCGCCGUAUUAGCUAGUUGGUAAGGUAACGGCUUACCAAGGCAACGAUACGUAGCCGACCUGAGAGGGUGAUCGGCCACACUGGAACUGAGACACGGUCCAGACUCCUACGGGAGGCAGCAGUAGGGAAUCUUCCGCAAUGGGCGAAAGCCUGACGGAGCAACGCCGCGUGAGUGAUGAAGGUCUUCGGAUCGUAAAACUCUGUUAUUAGGGAAGAACAAAUGUGGAAGUAACUGUGCACGUCUUGACGGUACCUAAUCAGAAAGCCACGGCUAACUACGUG